AUAAAUCUUCAGGGCAGGGUGAAAUUCCCUACCGGUGGUUAUAGUCCACGAGCUGCUUGUGCAGUUGACUUGGUGAAAUUCCAAGACCGACAGUAAAGUCUGGAUGGGAGAAGAUUCUA
rnacentral:ncRNA from 2 species